CUGCCAGCAUCAUUGUCAAGCUGUGGGAAUUUUGGGGAGAAAGUUCUCCAGACCGCAACUCGGGCACUCGCGCUGUCCCUCUCAGCACGCCUGACGUCCAGCAGCAGGUAGCUUCACCUGUUCUUGCCACCUGGCUGACAAGCACCUGGCUAGACUUUGUGCCACCUUAGCAGCCACAGCUACAACUUCAGCUUUCCCUUCCCUGCUAGGGACGUGGCCGGGGACGUGGCCGAGGGCACCGAUGAGGAGGAAGAGGAUAGGAGAUCAAGAAAGGCGGACCCAGGAACGCCUACUUGUUCUGGUAGGCAGAGAAGGGGUGACACCGAGGGGGSCCCGGUGUGGCACUGGGCACCAUGCGAGCACCGCGGGCAGCGAGGAGCUGGAGCCCCRGCUUCCCGCACGAGCCAGCCGCGAGAGCAGCCUGCGCCUCCUCGCCGAAGGCCUCAGGAUACCAGGGGCAAAACAGGCAAUACGGCUCAGCGGAAGAAAGGAUGAGGAACGGCGACGGCUCUUCGGCUGCCCGACAGCUGGGGUUUGCAGCUUCGGCUCUGCAAGAAGUGCCUAAGCGAGGGCUGCCCCAGCUCCCACCACCUGGUCUUGAUACCUGACCAUUUUGCAUCCUCAUCCUCAAAAAAUAGUCCAGUGCCUUCUAAAAUCAGUACGCAAUAUAUCCSCAGAGCACCUCUGAAGACCCAGGGCUUUAAUCAUUUCUCCCUUCAUUUCACUGCACCCUCUAGAAAUUGGGUAUACUCCUUUUCACUGGCUUUUUGGGAAGGUAAAUACUCCCAAGAGGAACCAGUUAUUGGCUACCACCACGUUACAGCAUAGCUGCCUAAGGGAGGUGUGGCGGUGUAAGAUGCAGCGGGGCAUCGGCCUUGCUCGCCGGACCCCGAGGCGGAUUCGUUCCCAGCCGUCGGUCAGACGUGCCCCGCGGCCGCCUUCUCGCGCGGGAGCCGGUGCUGAAAGCGCAUUGCAGACGUCCACAGCCGUGCCCUGAGCGAACCAGACGGUGCACGGGGUAACACGCAGUCUCCAGGAAACAUUGUAUAGUUGUGUCGAAUUUCACCACAUUUCCCCCAUUAUUGGCGGCGGCUCUGUAACAGCGCAGUUCAUUUCCCCAUCCAGGGAAGGAAAGCGCCUUUUUGUAAGGCCUCGUUUGAAAAUAAAGAYGCUAUUGAUGCAAAACUUGGCGUGYRA
ensembl:lncRNA